ACAGUUUCACCAUGUUGCCAAUCCUGGCUCCCUACCUUAACCCAGUCCUGGUUCCUGUUCUGAUAGAUGCUCAACAUCAGUUGAUAUUCAGACUGGGAUUGUCGCCCAUUCAUUCAUUCAUUCAUUCACCCACACACAUGCACAGAGUCACUGCUUCCACCACCCCUUGUGGUUCCCGAUGCUGCAGCACAGGGAUGAGGCUCCUGCUUCCAGGUCUUCUAUUUGAAUAGAGGAGCCAGUAAGUAGAGAAACACAUUUUUAAAAAGUAAACAAAUAGGACUUACUCACUUUACCUCUUUACUUUCUUUUAAAAUUAUUGAAUUUUUUAAGAGACAGUGUCUCAUGGUCACCCAUCCUGGGGUGCAUGAUCAUAGCUCACUGGAGUCUUGACCUCAUGGGCUCAAAUGAUCCUCUCACCUCAGCCUCCCAACAUGCUGGGAUUAAAGGCAUAAGCCAUUUUGCCUGGUCUGACUUUACAUCUUAAAUAUAUGUGAAAUAACUUAUCUUUUCCCUCUCCACUGCCAGAACCAUGGUUCACACUGCUGUUACCUCCAUCUGGACCAAGAGCCCCACACAGCUCUUCCUGCUUCACUUCUCUACCCCAGUCCCCCCAGGCCCCGCCAGCAUUCUCCAGAAAGCAGCCAGCAUGGUCUUUUCAAAUAUCCAUCAGAUUACAUUGCUCCCUGCUAAAAGCCAUUACAUGGCAUCCAUCUCACUAAAAUUACUUUCAGAUUCCUUAUCUCGCUCUGGAAGGCUUUCCAUGGUUUCUGCUCAUUUCAUCACCACUCUCCAUGUCCUCAUGCCCUGCACACAGUGUCUCUGCUCCAGAAACAUUUCCCAGUUCGUCCUCAGCUCUGAGUCUUCCCUUCUGUUUCUUUUCUUGGGAAUGUUCUUCCCCCAGAUCAUUGCAAGGUUGGCUAAUGGAGGUCUUCUCUGACCACCCGAUCUGGAGCCCAGUCCUUCGCCACCAUUACCCAUUCUUCUUUAUAGGGUUUACCACAAUCUAAAAUGAUCUCAUUUGCGUGUUCAGGUGCCUGCCUCCUGCCCGUUCCUCAGCAGACUAUCUGCUCUAUUGGGGCAGGUGUCUCACUCACUGGCUCACUACCAAGUGCACCCUCUUCUAGAACAGUGAUGACUGGUACAUAGUGAGUACUCACUACUGAAAAUUAAUAAAUGCAUUAAUCCUUUCAAAGGAAAAGUAAGAAGGGUAUUGGAUACUAAGUUAAACCCCUGGUUUUACUCAAUUAUUCAACGUUUUCUCAGGAAGUAGUGUAUGUGCUCUUAGCUUAAUAAUUCCAUCAUUUGGUCUCUUCUCUCUACUGGCUUUAAUCCUGAUUCUCUCCAAGGCCAGAUGUUACAGUACAGAGCAGCUCUUCUCUGUGAUGAAGGGAGAGGAAAUAAAACAAUCUGGCCAGCUAAUUCUAGGGUUAUAGACACAGAAGCAUGAAUAUUUAGAUUCCAGGCAUUUCAGCUGACAGAAACAUUUUAUAUCAGUUCUAAUGAAAAGGAUUGACUAGGUUUCACUUAUUGCUUGCUAACUGGAAUUUUGUUAGGCACAAUUACAUAAUGCAGAAGUAUUUGAGCUGUGCCUACCCACAUUAGAAUCCUAAACUAGGUUUCAAAGGGACUACAUUCCAUUUUAAAGAAAUUCCUAGUACUGCUAACUUUCCUGGAAAUAAAAGCUAUCCCUCCCUAAGACUGACAUUUUUAUGGCCAGAAAUGUACAUUUAAUCUAUUUGUUUUAAACUCUAAUAUAUUAUGGAUGCCUAAAUAAAGCCAAAUGCCUAUCAGAAAGCAGUUGAGAAAAGAAAAUCUGCCUAGAAAACUAUUCUUAUGAUCUCUGCUGGGUAAGAAUAAAAAAGUACCACCCAAGACAGGCAAGACCACACUCCCAUGGUCAAAUGUAAGGACAGAAAAUGAGCCACAACUCGCACUGUAGCCCCUGAAAAAAAAAUUAUCGAUAGGUCCAAAUGCCUCUUCUAAAAAUGCUGACUCACUGAAAAUUAUUGCCAUUUAAUAAAUAGGAAGCAAGCUAUUACAUCGUUUGCCAAACUUUCUCCCACAUUUCUGAAAUAUAUUCUUUAAUAGCUCAAUAACAUUCAGGAGCACUAGAGGCCCGUUAAAUUCAUCUAAAAAGGAAGGACAAGAUUUCUGCCUCACCCAGCACAUCUGCGUUGGGUGGGUAUGCUAAGAAAACAGGAAUCAAGGUGGCUAUCACCUCUCCACUAGACAGUUCCCCAAAUCCAGCCUAGACGGAAAGCACUUUUUUUCCCAGGCAGCCUCCAGGAAUACGGAAUACUUUUGGGAGGAGAAGAGCCAUGGACGGGUGAGUCCUUACCCCAGGAUGCACAAACACCACAGCAAGACACCAAUGACUGCCGGAAGUUCGGCGGUUCCUCCUUCUCUGGAGCAGCAGGCCCAGACUUCACCCGGUAGCCAUUAUGGAACAGGUCCCCCAGGGACUUCUUGCGGCGCCUGCCGGGUCUGUAAAGCUCUGUGCCAGUUCUGCUGGAUGGGUGGUGGUACACCAGAAUCUUACUGGGGAUCAUGGUAGAAGGAGGGAGAUGGGCUAGGCUUUCGGCUCCCUUCCGUUCACUUCUUGCAGGAGCCAAUGCUCUGGAAAGACCUGGAGGAGCCUGUGUUCCUCUGACCCGUGCUGCAAACAGGUCCUCCUGUCCAGCGCAGUGUGGGUCACCAGCAUCUAUGUCCUGGUGGAGCCAAUAGACACUCUCUCCUCCCUCACCCUCCAGUCCCUCUUGCAAGAACCCCGGCAUGCUCUGGGCACUGGAUGCACACAGCCACAUCAGAAAGGGGGUUAAGAGGGGCGGGGGAAGCGCUCUGAUCCACGAUGUCCUGCGAGCUGAUCAAUCAGCUUCACGCUGGAAAUAACCAUAUAAAAACCUGAACUCAAAGAAGAGAACUGGAAUAAUCCUCCCUAAUCCCACUUCCCAUGGUGAGCCCCAGCUGGGACGCUGACACAUGGCCCCAACUUUUUCUCCUGCCUGAUGUCUGGACCCACAGGGGACAGAUGGUGGUCCCUGGUCACUGAAGUACCCACAGAACCCAUGCAAGAGGCACAAAACCAUCUGCUUAGUGGUCAUGUGGCAGCAGACAGUAUCUCAGAAGUCCUCGCAGCAUAUGACUUCACUGAUGAAGAUGGAUCACACUUGAGCAGGGAUUCUUGAUCUCUGCAAAACUGCUCAUACACAACAGGAACAAUCUCACAGAUAAGAAAAACUCCAGAAGUUGGUCUCGGGCUAUGAAAAUUUCUGCCACAAUAUGAUUUAUGUGAAAAUAAAUAAAGUGGGUCUACUACUUUA